rnacentral:rRNA from 1 species
UACGUAGGGGGCAAGCGUUGUCCGGAUUUAUUGGGCGUAAAGAGCGUGUAGGCGGCUUUGCAAGUCCGUUGUGAAAACUCGAGGCUCAACCUCGAGACGCCGGUGGAAACUGCAAAGCUAGAGUCCGGAAGAGGAGAGUGGAAUUCCUGGUGUAGCGGUGAAAUGCGCAGAUAUCAGGAGGAACACCCGUGGCGAAAGCGGCUCUCUGGGACGGUACUGACGCUGAGACGCGAAAGCGUGGGGAGCGAACAGG